rnacentral:rRNA from 1 species
UACGUAGGGGCCUAGCGUUGUCCGGAUUUAUUGGGCGUAAAGAGCUCGUAGGCGGUUCGGCAAGUCGGAUGUGAAAUCUCCACGCUCAACGUGGAGGGGCCAUUCGAAACUGCCGUGACUCGAGUCCGGUAGGGGAGUGUGGAAUUUACGGUGUAGCAGUGAAAUGCGUAGAUAUCGUAAGGAAGACCAGUGGCGAAGGCGAAUCUCUGGACAGUUACUGACACUGAGGCACGAAGGCCAGGGGAGCAAACGGG